AAUCUAAGAACAGGGAAGCUGGGAUUGCAACACACACAGAGGGAGUGUGUCUUCAUCCUCUGCUCAGGACGCCAUUACGCCACUGUAUCGUCACAGAGCAAACAGCUGUUUGCUGCUGAAUAAAUGUUCUGA